rnacentral:rRNA from 1 species
AACGAACGCUGGCGGCAGGCCUAACACAUGCAAGUCGAGCGCGCCCUUCGGGGUGAGCGGCGGACGGGUGAGUAACGCGUGGGAACGUGCCCUUCUCUGCGGAAUAGCCUCGGGAAACUGAGAGUAAUACCGCAUACGCCCUUUGGGGGAAAGAUUUAUCGGAGAAGGAUCGGCCCGCGUUGGAUUAGGUAGUUGGUGGGGUAAUGGCCCACCAAGCCGACGAUCCAUAGCUGGUUUGAGAGGUUGAUCAGCCACACUGGGACUGAGACACGGCCCAGCCUCCUACGGGAGGCAGCAGUGGGGAAUCUUAGACAAUGGGGGCAACCCUGAUCUAGCCAUGCCGCGUGAGUGAUGAAGGCCUUAGGGUUGUAAAGCUCUUUCAGCUGGGAAGAUAAUGACGGUACCAGCAGAAGAAGCCCCGGCUAACUCCGUG